rnacentral:rRNA from 1 species
ACGAACGCUGGCGGCGUGCCUCACACAUGCAAGUCGAACGAGAAAGGGGCUUCGGCUCCGAGUAGAGUGGCGCACGGGUGAGUAACACGUGGGUAACCUGCCUCUAAGAUUGGGAUAACUCGUCGAAAGAUGAGCUAAUACCGAAUAAGACCACAGUUCCCGCGGGAACAGGGGUCAAAGGUAGCCUCUGCUUGCAAGCUAUCACUUAGAGAUGGGCCUGCGCACCAUUAGCUAGUUGGUAGGGUAACGGCCUACCAAGGCAAAGAUGGUUAGCUGGUCUGAGAGGAUGAUCAGCCACACUGGAACUGAGACACGGUCCAGACUCCUACGGGAGGCAGCAGUGGGGAAUAUUGCGCAAUGGGCGAAAGCUUGACGCAGCAACGCCGCGUGAGUGAUGAAGGCCUUCGGGUCGUAAAGCUCUGUCGGGAGGAACGAAUGCUCCUGAGGUUAACAGCCUCGGGAGGUGACGGUACCUUCAAAGGAAGCACCGGCUAACUCUGU